rnacentral:rRNA from 1 species
GGACAACAGCCAGAAAUGGCUGCUAAUACCGCAUAAGCCUGCGGUGCCGCAUGGCACAGCAGGGAAAACCACGGUGGUACAGGAUGGGCCCGCGUCUGAUUAGUUAGUUGGCAGGGUAACGGCCUACCAAGACGAUGAUCAGUAGCCGGCUUGAGAGAGUGGACGGCCACAUUGGGACUGAGACACGGCCCAGACUCCUGCGGGAGGCAGCAGUGGGGAAUAUUGCACAAUGGGGGGAACCCUGAUGCAGCAAUGCCGCGUGGGUGAAGAAGCACUCCGGUGCGUAAAGCCCUGUCAGCAGGGAAGAAAAUGACAGUACCUGACCAAGAAGCCCCGGCUAACUACGUGCCAGCAGCCGCGGUAAUACGUAGGGGGCAAGCGUUAUCCGGAUUUACUGGGUGUAAAGGGAGCGCAGGUGGUAUGGCAAGUCAGAUGUGAAAACCCAGGGCUCAACCCUGGGACUGCAUUUGAAACUGCCAUACUGGAGUGCCGGAGAGGUAAGUGGAAUUCCUAGUGUAGCGGUGAAAUGCGUAGAUAUUAGGAGGAACACCAGUGGCGAAGGCGGCUUACUGGACGGUAACUGACGCUGAGGCUCGAAAGCGUGGGGAGCAAACAGGAUUAGAUACCCUGGUAGUCCACGCUGUAAACGAUGAAUACUAGGUGUCGGGGUACAAAGUACCUCGGUGUCGCAG